AUUCCCCUUAAAUCCUAGCUCUCCAUUAAUAUUGCAUCUUGGCCUUUGAUUUCCUCAUUGUAUUUGACAUCUAUUUAUAUCCUUACUACAUGUCCCACUUUCUAAUAAGCCACUUUCAUCAUAUCCUUAUUCUGCCUUUUUUUAAUCCGAUAUCCAAAUCCUACCAUCAUGUUGUUAGUUUAUUGAGCAACCACAUUCUACCAUAAAUAGGCCAUAAAGAGGACAUCAAUUGGAGUUAUCAAGUGCACUCCACUUCUACUCAAAUAGAAGAGCAAAGAAGAAACAAGACUGCAACAAAUUGUACUGGGCGAAUUGAAAGCUUGAAUAUUGUGUUUGGAAGCAAAUCAGAGAAAAAUAAUUGUAACUGUAUUGUACGCCUUUUGAGCUCGAUUCAAGCUCGCCUGUGCGAAAUGACUAUCCAGCCAACAAAAUAGUCUAUUUGGCAUUUGUUUGCAACUGAUCUUUUACUAAAAGUGCCAUUUGUGCUGCUGCAUGAGCCAUUCUUUGGAGCAAAUGGCACUUUAAUAAAAGACGAAAUAGAAUAUCAGGUCACUGAAUAGCCAUUUCGUUUCAUGAAGGAGAGCUGAAUCGAGUUCGAGAAGCGUACAGUGCAGUUUGAAAGCAGUCCCUCCAAAGUUGAAGAAGCGUACAGCGCCAGUUUGAAAGUAGUUCCUCCAGAAAAUGCAGUCUCCACAACGCAUAGCUUCUGAAGAUUGUGUUUAUCUGUUCAAAGAAGCUUUGGAUCAUAUCAAUGGUAGAAAUCUGAGGCUUGGAUCUGAGUCCCUCCAAAGCCCAAGCAAGCAACGUCAAGACAGGGCUAAGCCUUGCUCUCACAGACUUUCAGACAUUCAGAGUUCAGUUCUCCCCAAUUUAGAGUUCACUUCUUUUUUUUGUAUUUAUUGUGCUGGAUUACACAGCUUUCAGUUCAUUGUAUUCUGACAUUCAAGAUCAUCUCAAACAUUCUGAGUAGCAAAAAGAGAAGAAUAUAUUAUAUUUUGUUGUAUUCCA